CAGCCGCCGCGGUAAUACGAAGGGUGCAAGCGUUAAUCGGAAUUACUGGGCGUAAAGCGUGCGUAGGCGGUGAGUUAAGUCUGCUGUGAAAUCCCCGGGCUCAACCUGGGAAUGGCAGUGGAUACUGGCUCGCUAGAGUGUGUCAGAGGAUGGUGGAAUUCCCGGUGUAGCGGUGAAAUGCGUAGAGAUCGGGAGGAACAUCAGUGGCGAAGGCGGCCAUCUGGGACAACACUGACGCUGAGGCACGAAAGCGUGGGGAGCAAACGGGAUUAGAUACCCCAGUAGUCCCUGUCUCUUAUAC
rnacentral:rRNA from 1 species